rnacentral:misc_RNA from 1 species
AAAGAUCGCAGCCUUCGGCAGCUCCUACAGGAGCACGCAUCCCCAUGUAGGAGCUGCCGAAGGCUGCGAUCUUU